GAGCCAGUUGGAGAAAUGGACAGAAUCAAUAAGGAGAACGGGGAACUUAGUGUGUCAGGGGAGAGUUCUGAGAGCAUAGAAGUUAAAACUACACAAAUCCAAAGUGAGACAAAUGGGGACCUGAAAGCACAUGAGGAUCCAGUGGUGCUUCUGAAAGAUCAGCUAACUCAGCUGAGUACUAUAAGCCAACGGACACCAGAACAAAGAGACCAAGAGCUCAACAGACUUCUGCUUCUGUUCAUCCAGGUCUCAGAGAGCAGCAGUGUCCUUGAUGAUCUGGACCUCCAGGGCUUGGCGCUGAAGGUUGGAGAAGCUCUUGUCUGUCACAUACAGCAGAGAGUUGCAGAAAAGCCUGCAGGUACCCAAAAAUAACAUUUGCAAAGGUGCAGUUGGCAGUGGCACUGGUGAGGUCACUAAAGGCCAAACAAAAAUCAAACUGAGAGCUUCAGUUGGUGUUUGAAGGGAAGUUGCUCACUUCUUUAUUUCACAAACAUGCGGCAAAAUAAGUUGCAUGAUAAUGUUGAUCAUCCUUGCUGUUACCUGUGUGAUGCAUCUGUGUUCAUUUCUUAUUAUGGUGUUUAGUUGAUUAAAUGAUUAAAUGAUUAUUCAAAAUGGAUGUUGGUGUUGAAGGAACCGAAAACCUUACUUAUCUGUUGUGUGCUGAUCUAAGAUCAAAUGGGUUUAAUCGUGCUGUCUGUUGUUUUUAUGGCUUUGUUUAAAAUAGAAGAAGCCAGGUAUGAAUUGGAGCAGUUGUUUCAGAGGUCAGAGGUCAGAAGCAACCAAGGAUGGCUUCUGCUCAAAUCGAUAUCUCUUUUGUCUAACAGAGACUCUGAAGUUGGCGUUAUGAUCAAGACAGGUCUUCCGGUGUCAUUAGUCAAGUGUCUGUACCUGUUUGUAGCUUUGCCUCCCCGAAAAGAGAGCUUUGUCUUUCGCAAUGAUGUUGAAGAGGAAGUCAAAUGCUCUUUUCAGGACACUCUUACUCAGGUGAUCUUGCAGCUGUGCAGGCAUGUGCGUUUCGUGGAGGUUCUGCUGGAGACCCAGGAGCUUUCAAGCGUGAUCAUCUCUCUCACCUUACUGUGGGAUCAGUGCAGCCCCUCAUGGAGACAGCAGGCGUCUCGUGUGCUCAGAGCAGUGUCUGCUGCACAAGCUCACAACACUGUACCUGCACUGCAAGCUAGUAACUGCAUGAAGAUCUGCAUCCAGAACAUGCAUAAGAUCAGCGAGAACGUCCCUGGUCAUGUUCUGUCUGAGGUGGCCGUGAGUGUUUUCAGCUUUGUGAAGGACUCUUAUGCCAUCAGUCCUGCUCUUUUUGAAGAAUUCGAGAACAAUGACGGCUAUGACAUCUUUCAGGCCAUCUUGUUACGCUGUGAGGAGGAAGUGACAGAGGAGCACUUCUUAGCCAUUCAAGACCUUCUAGGCCUCAUUGCGUCAUUUACGCUUUUUGGCAAGGCUGAGGUGAAGGUCACCAUGUGUGUAAACAACCCCCAACCACCAGGCUUCAGGUUCGACCCAACCCUUACUAAUGGUUCGCCAGUGAUGAACCUCACAGCCUUCAAAAUCAUCCAGUCUUCCUUCUUGCGGUCAGGCAACACGGUGAUCUGCAGCCAAAUCCUGCGCACCAUCCAGAUGAUCUGGUCUUGGGAAAAGGCUAACUUCUUCCUGUUGGAGUGGUCUCUGCAGUCUCUGGCUCAGCUGGCGGAGUGUGUGUGGCAGAAAUCGCCACCUGUUCACUUCAUUUUCUUCGAACUGCUUGAGACCGUCAUCCUCCAGCUUUCCUACAUCCCACAUGAGACAAUCAGAAAGGUCAAAGCUGUGUUGAAGCAGGGUUGUUCGGAGGCCUUCAACAUCGCAGCUCUGGACUGCUUCUACAGGCUCAUCAUGCACAGUGGAUUGCUGUCUGAAGUCCUGAGUGAUGGAGGACUGAUGGAACAACUGAUGUUUGAGCUUAAACGAAGGGCAAAGAUAAUCAGAAAGGCUGGUGUUGCUGUGAAUGAAGUUGAGGAGAAGGCUGACAGCUAUGAGAGGAAGUUGACCACCAACAUUUUAAAUGUGGUUGCAGCCCUGGCCUUCCAGUCAGUCAGAAACACUGUGUUUAUCAGGGACUUAGGGAUGAUUCCCUAUGUGAAGAUCUUUCUGGAUGUUGAGCAGUUCCGCAGUCCUGCUCUGUGCAUCCUGGAGCAGCUUUCGGAGGUCAAUCCCGAGGAAUACAUGAGCACCGCCAUCGGAGCCCUCUGCUCCUCCACUGAGAGCGAGAUCAGACUCAAACAAGAUCUCUUACAGUCUAUCAUGAAAGUUCUGGAGAACCCAAACUGUUGGAAUGCCUUCCGCACUUCUGGAGGCUUUACUGGCCUGCUCUCCAUAGUCGUGGACAUGGAAGGAUCUCUGAUGGAGGCACCAAAGGGACCGUGGGCCUCAUUGAGCCGCCACAGCCUUGUUGAGCUGCUGCUCCUCAUCCUACACACCUUCGCCCUUGCUGUGCACGUGCACCCCGUCAACGCCCACUUUUUCCACACGACCGGAUUCUGCGAGAAGCUGGGUGAUGCCCUGCUACAGCUGGGCUGUUUCCAGAGAGGGGUCCCUGUGGAAACAGACAAAGAAAGUUCAGACUGCAGGAUUUUCCAACAAUUUGUGGAGGCGGCGGAGAGGCCAGAACCUCAGUUGCCACCACCUUUAGGAGACUGUGUUAAACUGCUGGGAUUCCUGGAGCAAUUUGCUACCGGCGUGAGCUUGGCUGCAGAUCCAUGCUCAGGAUUACAGGAUAAUAAUGAAGCUGGUGAGAGUCAGAGGACAGGGGAGCCAUCCAAUGAGAAUGAGGCGUUAAAUCACACUAGGGCCGCAAGUGUCUCAUUUGAGUCAACAGAUUCUGGGAGGGCUUACUAUGACCUCACCAUUCUUCAUCCUGGAGCUGUUAAGCUGAUUAUGAUUCUUCUGCCUAGUAUUUACUGUCCCAGUGACCCUUGUUUGUCUGAAGAGCUGCAGCUGGCUGUGGCUCAUCACGUACAAACUCUGGUGAAGUCAGAAAGAAACAGGCAGAUCAUGUGCGAGUUUGGUCUGCUGUCCACAUUGCUGACUCACUGCAAACAUAUUCUCAUCGACAAUUCGCAUUCGCUGCAUCUGCCCAUAGUACGGAUCCUUGAGAAACUCGCAUCUCAGUCCAUGGAUCACAAGUGCCUCAGGCGGUUUCUGUGUCUUGGGGAUCCUCUGAUGUGCACUGGAGAAAAUAGUCUUGCUGUCUCUUGUGAAGAGGCCAGCAACACAAACCAGACAGAAGACUCUGAAGAGGAUAACAGGAAAUCCUUAAAAAAGGCAUUGAAAAGAAGUUUCAGUCUACUGAAAACAUCUUCAGACAGUGGGACGGUAGUUCCUCUUCAUAGAAUCAUAAGUCUUGUCUCUAUCACAUCGCCACGGAGCUUUCAGCCACACAAAGUAUCCAUUUCCCCUUCCUUUGUGGAGUUUGACAUGACAGACAGUGGCUAUGGAUGUCUGUUUCUGCCAUCCCUUGCCACAGUAAAAGGUGUCAGUGCAGAUUUUAUCUCUACAGGAGGCUUGGGCUCUGACUGCAGAGGCUUCCCUCCUUCAGCCGGCCUGUCUUUCUCCUGCUGGUUUAUGAUCUGUAGGUUCAGCUCAGCCUGUGAAUCCCACCCUGUGCGUCUGCUCACGGUAGUGCGCCACAUGUCUCGUGCUGAGCAGCAGUUCAGCUGCCUGUCUGUCAGUAUCUCUGCCACCGAUGGCUGCUUGGUGAUCUCCACUGAGGAGGAACCUUAUCAGUUCUUAGACAUGAUGGAGCCAGACGAGCAGACUCCCAGCGCGCUACCAUCCUCAGUACGGUUCAAAUGUACCAAACAGCUGAUACCAGGCCAAUGGCACCAUCUUUGUCUGGUUAUGGCCAAAGGAAUCAAGAAGAGCUGUUUAGCCACUGUUUAUCUGAAUGCAACAGCAAUUGGAACAGCAAAGAUCAAAUACAUUCAGCCGUUUCCUGGUCAGUCCAUAUCAAUGGAUCCCUCUGCAGUCAUUGACGUGUGUGGGAUUAUUGGCACUCCGUCUCUAUGGAAACAGCAUGCGGCUCUGGUCUGGCGGGUUGGUCCUACGUACUUCUUUGAAGAAGUUUUGAGUUCUGAUCAGGUGGAGACUAUUUAUGGGCAAGGCACCAAAUAUAUUGGCAACUACCUUGCUCUCAAUGCCCAAGGAGGUGAGACAGAUGUUGCAGUGUCCCAAAUUAGGAUGGUCUCCCCAGAGAGGAUUUCCUUUGCAAUAAACAUGGCAGUGUCUACCAUCACUACAGUAGUAAAUAUUAGAGACCAGUACAACGAGGUGGACUGUCGCCUUAUAGCCAAAGAGAUGGGGAUCACAUCACGUGAUAAUUGUACUCCUGUCUUCCUGGCUCAUAACAUCAGUCAGCACCUUAGUGGAACUGCUCGGACAAUUGGGGCAGCCCUGGUUGGUUGUUUUGGUGUAAGGACGUUCAAGUCAUACAGUGCUGCAAGUAGCUUCCAGUUCAUUGGUGGACCUGCAGCCAUUCUGAGUUUGGUGGCAAUGGCCUCCGAUGACAGCUCCUUGUAUGCUGCUGUCAAAGUUCUGCUCUCUGUUUUAGAGACAAAUCCUGUGAUGGAGCAGGAGAUGAAACGAACUAAUGGCUAUAAGCUCUUGUCCUUCCUGCUGAAGAUGAAGUCUCAGCUGAUCAGCAGCAGGAUUUUCCAGCUUAUUAUGGCCAUAGUGGGCACAAUGGAGCUGGGCAUUGUCGCUGUUCGCAUUCCAAACAUCACUGCCUUCCAGGACAUUCUCUGUGACUUUGAGGUGUGGCAGAAUGCUCCAGAAAAUCUUGAUGUUUGUGUUUUAAAUCAUUUUGUUGAUAUCCUGAAGUCAUCAAGUGGGAGUCAACAGAAUGCUGAAGUCAUGCAUAGACUCAACAUGAUGAGCAAACUCCUGAUCCUGCUGCAUGAUACCAGUGUGACCCGUAGGAAGGUGUCAGUCAUCUGCACCAUCAUCAAAUCCCUCCUUGAGGAACAUUUCAACACCACAGACAUCAAGAGGCAUGUUUGUUAA
ensembl:lncRNA